rnacentral:lncRNA from 1 species
UUGGUGUUCCAACUUCCUAAUCAACCAACUCACUCGCGGAAUCAAGUAGAAGACUUGCAAAACCGUGAGUAUACUCGCAACCCCCUUUUAUGUUUACCACUUUUUGGGGUGUUGAUGAUGACGAUGCUAUGAAAAGAAGUAGCGUUGAUGCCUAGAUACACAUAUAGACGUUUAGGUUUAAUAUGUUGUAUCAAUUUUGAUUAUGUUGUUACGUAUUUCCUUUGAACAUGUUGUUAUUUGAAUUUCCUUGUAUGUUUGACAAUCUAUCUAUGAAAUGAAAUCGGUUUAUUAAAUAUUGUC